AAGAUAGAUAACAAUAUUAUUGGAAAUUCCUAUUAUUUUUCGUAAAUGGGUUAAGAAAACAACUUAAACUUGAACUCCAACAGGUCACUUCUAUAUGAAGGGCUCCUGAAAUAAACUAAAAUUAAUCAUACCACUGAACAGUCACGUUGCAAGUUGCAAAACGUUCAAAUAAAAAAAAUUAAAAUGAGGUUUUUCGUGAUUGUCCCACUACUUCUUUUCGCUUUCAUGGGUUUGGUGAAAUGUGGUAUCAUACCAACAUACCAAAAUUGCGAUCCAAUGUUAUGUCAUCGAGUGAGAUGUUACAAUGUUGAUGAAUCAGUUUGCGAUAGAAACAGUGAGGUCUUCGUACCUAGAGAUGGUAUCUGUCAUUGUUGCGAUAGCUGCAUGUCAGUGGACAAAUUCCUGAUGUAUUCCAGAAUAGGUUAGCCUUUUUUAAGAAGAAUUCCAUUUCGAUUUUCAGAAAUGAGAAAUAUUUUACGUUGAAUUGAAUUCAACUAUUAUAAGAAUCUAAUGUUAUUAUACUAUAUGUUAAGAUAAUAAAUUAUUUAUUCGA